AAUCAAUCACUCAGUUUAUAUUUUAGUUUUGAAACCAUUCAAAGUGAUUAUGUCCUCUGUUUCUCAUUGAGAUAGCUAGAAUGGGUUUUUGAUUUUUGUUUGGGCCCUGGGGUCAAUUCUGACCCCUUUUUCAAGAAUAGCCCAUUCGUUUGGGUUUAUGUCUUGGGUCAAUUUGACCCGUUUGGUUUCAGGGGUAAAAACAGAAGGUUUAAGUGGUAGUCUAGGGAUUUUAAGUAGGAGAAUCAUUUGUAAUUGAUUUGGGAAACUUCUUGGAAGGUGGGUUUGGGGUUGUUUUGAAAAACUGACUUUAAAUUAUGGACAUAGGAGCAAAAACGAAAAUUCCAAAAGGAGUAAAGGGCAAAAGUCUGAACUCAUUCUGCUGCCCUAAAACUUCGCUAUAAAAGGGAACUUACUUCUGAACCAAGUUAGAUUUUUUAGGGAGAAUUUUUCAGAGAUUAAAAUACUGAAAUUUAGAAAAACAGCUAAGUCUUCAAAAUACUGAAAUCCAUUAUAAUUUCUGGUGGGAAUUGGUUGAGCUUCCUAUUGGUUCUAGUAUUUGAAAGUUACAAGGAAUUUCUGGGGUUAUUUUCGAGUCUAAAUUGGGUUUCAAGGCUGGUUGAUUUGCUAAACUGAACUUGCUCCUGCUGCUUCUAUUUGAACUCCCAGCUCAUUUUUUCUUGUUGUUUUGCUGUUGUAGCCAGGUAUUCAUCACUUCCUUGACAUGUGAAAUGGAAGAACACGAAGUUAUUUGAUUGAGCUGAAAAUCUAUGGCAUACCAGUCUGUUAAAUGUUAUUUUCUACAUUCCUGAAAUCAUUAGAUUCUAUAAUUAACUUAAUUUUCUUCGUUAUGUUUGCUCUUUUUUCUAUUUUAGUUUUAAGUUCUGUUUGUAAUGUUGGACAAAUCAUUAGCUCUAGCCACUUAAUUUAAAUGAGUUGAACUUGUGUUUAUAUGAAUGGACUGUUAAGGUUACUACAGUAGAAUGUUCAGUCGAUUUACAUGUGUUUUAGACCUGUUUUAGUUUUGCUGAAACCAGUGUUUGUUUUGGUGUUGAUUUCUGCUUGAACUUGCUAAAAAUGACAAGUAUAAGCUGGAGACUAAAAACUUUCAAUUGGAAUACAUACCAAUAAGAGUAGUGUGCUAUUUGAAGUCAUGUAGUACUUUUAUUUCAUGAAAUGGUCAGUUGAUUUGUUUCCAAGCCAAUAGUCAGUAUGCAUUCAUUUUAGACAAAGGAAUUUCUCUGGGUUAUUACCUUAAGGGUCGAGCCCUACACUGAAUUACCCCCGGAUUUUUGUGUAAGCAUGUUCAAUUUGAGAUUGUUGUUUAAAUUCAGACUUGUUUACUUGACAGUCUCAUGAGAUUUGAUUUGCUAUUGUAUGUGUUGAAAAGGGGCUCAAUUAAAGUUGAAACCUCACACAAAUUGUCUAUUGAGUUAAUUGGAGACUGAGUUGAAUUUGAUUGUCGUGCAGUUUGUGUAUUGUUGUAAGCCAGCUGGGCUCGUGUCAAAGCCUCUGAGUUUUGGAUAUUUUUACAUGCCAUGGAGACUCGAUCUCGAAUCUAGCAUUCUCUGACCCCCCUAGCCUUGAAAGAUUUAGGUCAUUUUUUGGGCCUAAACCCUGAGGCUACGGGGAAUGGGAAUUAUAGGCCACAUCAUGCUUGGG
rnacentral:lncRNA from 1 species